rnacentral:lncRNA from 10 species
AUCUGAAGACAUUGUUUGAGGCUAUGAAAAAAUAUGAAUAAUAUUAGGCCUUGAGAUCAAAAAUCAUUUUUUACUUCCAUGGUUGUUAGCUGCCAAUAUCCCACGCACAGCUCUCAAUUUCCAAAGCAGCAGUGAAAUGCUGGAGAGAUCAGAAAAGAAGAGAACGGCAGUGUCAACUCACCUCUGGUCUCUUCUUGUUAGCAAGUUCAAGAGACACUUGGCGAUAUUGACUGCAGAAUACAAAGAUGAAAUUCAAGGGUUCCUAGAGGGUGUCUGUCCGUAGAAACAAAGGACAUCCUCAUCUUGAAAACGUAAGUAGUAGAUGUACAGUCAUGACUCAUUCCCUUCACCUCCUAAGUCUUGGGCUAGAAGUGUUGGAUGUCAUAGACUGAGACCAACAUGGCCAGCCAUCUCACCCUAAUCUCUAGUACGAGGGUUUUCCAAGAGUUGUCAUCAACUUGGACCUCAAUCCACGACUCUGAAGACUCAAAGAUCCCCAAGUGCAAGGAUGUUCUCUUCCUGCUUCCUGAUGCCUUGCCAACAGGAACAUUUCUGCAGCCCUUAUCAUUUCCUUUUCCCUCACCACGCCAGAGAAAUGCAGUUAACUGAUGUGUAUAGGAAGGACUCACAGAAAUCACCCAGUUAGAUGGUGGCUGAAAAACACAGUGGAGAGUGGAAUACAUUUCUUCCCACUUUGGAGGAGAACCGGUGUAUGGAAGGACAAUUUAAGAGUUACCAUGAACCUCCAAAUAUGCCCACCAUUUUCCAAGUCUUCUUCAUCCUCAGAUCCCACUCAAGUUCCUUCCCCAUAAGGAAAUCCUUUGAGACUAUCCAUCCAUCUAUAAUCACUUCCUUCUCUGAACCCCCACAGCCAACUCAAUACCCACCUUUUGAAGUUUUCUGAAAAUUAUUGAUACUGUAAAUAAAGCAUCCAACACAGGACUG